rnacentral:rRNA from 1 species
CCUACGGGAGACAGCAGUGAGGAAUAUUGGUCAAUGGACGAGAGUCUGAACCAGCCAAGUAGCGUGAAGGAUGACUGCCCUAUGGGUUGUAAACUUCUUUUAUAUGGGAAUAAAAUGUUCCACGUGUGGGAUUUUGUAUGUACCAUAUGAAUAAGGAUCGGCUAACUCCGUGCCAGCAGCCGCGGUAAUACGGAGGAUCCGAGCGUUAUCCGGAUUUAUUGGGUUUAAAGGGAGCGUAGGUGGAUUGUUAAGUCAGUUGUGAAAGUUUGCGGCUCAACCGUAAAAUUGCAGUUGAAACUGGCAGUCUUGAGUACAGUAGAGGUGGGCGGAAUUCGUGGUGUAGCGGUGAAAUGCUUAGAUAUCACGAAGAACUUCGAUUGCGAAGGCAGUUCACUGGACUGCAACUGACACUGAGGCUCGAAAGUGUGGGUAUCAAACAGGAUUAGAUACCCCAGUAGUC